rnacentral:rRNA from 1 species
UACGUAGGGGGCAAGCGUUGUCCGGAAUCAUUGGGCGUAAAGAGCGUGUAGGCGGCUCGGUAAGUCCGUUCUGAAAGUCCAGGGCUCAACCCUGGGAUGCGGAUGGAUACUGUCGGGCUCGAGUCCGGAAGAGGCGAGUGGAAUUCCCGGUGUAGCGGUGAAAUGCGCAGAUAUCGGGAGGAACACCAAUGGCGAAGGCAGCUCGCUGGGACGUGACUGACGCUGAGACGCGAAAGCGUGGGGAGCAAACAGG